GACGAAGGGGGCUAGCGUUGUUCGGAUUUACUGGGCGUAAAGGGCGCGUAGGCGGCCACCGCAAGUCGACUGUGAAAUCUCCGGGCUUAACCCGGAAAGGUCAGCCGAUACUGCGGGGCUAGAGUGCAGAAGGGGCAACUGGAAUUCUCGGUGUAGCGGUGAAAUGCGUAGAUAUCGAGAGGAACACCUGCGGCGAAGGCGGGUUGCUGGGCUGACACUGACGCUGAUGUGCGAAAGCUAGGGGGAGCGAACGGGG
rnacentral:rRNA from 1 species